CGGUAAUUCCAGCUCCAAUAGUGUAUACUAAAGUUGUUGCAGUUAAAAAGCUCGUAGUUGGAUUUCUGCGGGGACGGAGCGGCCGGUCGCAAUUUGCGACUCGAGCUAGCGCUUUCCCCGCAUCCUGCCGCGAACCGUGCUACCAUUAGUUUGGUGGCGCUGGGGAUCGGCUCGAUUACUUUGAGAAAAAUAGAGUGUUCAAAGCAGGCCACACGCCUUGAAUAAGUUAGCAUGGAAUAAUGACUAAGGACUUUGGUUCUUUUCGUUGGUGUUCGGGACUGAAGUAAUGAUUGAUAGGGACAGUUGGGGCGGUCCGUAUUCCAAAGCGAGAGGUGAAAUUCUUAGACCUUCGGAAGACGAACAGCUGCGAAAGCGUUCCGCAAGGAUGUUCCCUUUGAUCAAGAACGAAAGUUGGGGGAUCGAAGACGAUCAGAUACCGUCGUAGUCUCAACUAUAAACUAUACCAGCUAGGGAUCGGCCAACGUUUAAUUUAUCGACUUGGUCGGCACCUUAUGAGAAAUCAAAGCAUCUGGGUUCCGGGGGGAGUAUGGUCGCAAGGCUGAAACUUAAAGGAAUUGACGGAAGGGCACCACCAGCCGUGGAGCCUGUGGCUUAAUUUGACUCAACACGGGAAAACUUACCAGGUCCAGACAUAGGAAGGAUUGACAGAUUGAUAGCUCUUUCUUGAUUCUGUGGGUGGUGGUGCAUGGCCGUUUUUAGUCGGUGGAUGUGAUCUGUCUGCUUAAUUGCGUUAACGGACGAGACCCCAGCCUGCUAAAUAGCGCGGCCGAGCUUUGCUCGGUGCGAGCUUCUUAGAGGGACCAUGAUGCGCGAUAGCACAAGGAAGUUUGGGGCAACAACAGGUCUGUGAUGCCCUUAGAUGUUCUGGGCCGCACACGGGCUACACUGGCGCCUGCAACGAGCAUAUCAGCUGGCCCGAGAGGGUCUUGGCUAAUCUUUGGAACCGGCGCCGUGCUUGGGAUUGACCAUUGCAAUUGUUGGUCAUGCAACGAGGAAUGCCUUGUAAACGCGAGUCAUCAGCUCGCAUUGAAUACGUCCCUGCCCUUUGUACACACCGCCCGUCGCUCCUACCGAUGAAUGUUCCGAUGAAAUUUUCGGAGAGCACCAGAGAACGGGGCCCCGCCUUGCAGAUCUGGAGGCUCAAAGUCACUUAAAUCUGAACAUUUCGAGGAAGGAGAAGUCGUAACAAGGUAGCCG
rnacentral:rRNA from 1 species